rnacentral:rRNA from 1 species
AGAGUUUGAUCCUGGCUCAGAGCGAACGUUAGCGGCGGGCUUAACACAUGCAAGUCGAACGAGAAAGAGCCCUUCGGGGCUUGAGUAAAGUGGCGCACGGGUGAGUAACACGUGGGUAAUCUACCCUCCGGCGGGGGGCAACCACUGGAAACGGUGGCUAAUACCGCAUACGACCGGAGGCUCCUCGGAGCCUUCGGAGAAAGGCUUCGGCCACCGGAGGACGAGCCCGCGGCCCAUCAGCUUGUUGGUGAGGUAAUGGCUCACCAAGGCUAAGACGGGUAGCUGGUCUGAGAGGAUGAUCAGCCACACUGGGACUGAGACACGGCCCAGACUCCUACGGGAGGCAGCAGUGGGGAAUAUUGGACAAUGGGCGAAAGCCUGAUCCAGCCACGCCGCGUGUGUGAUGAAGGCCUUCGGGUCGUAAAGCACUGUGGGGAGGGAAGAACACAAUGACUGUACC